GGUAACACUGAACUAAAGCCAGUCCAAGACUGCACCCAAUGAACACCUGUUGCUAACUGGCCACAGGACUUGAAAAGAGCUAAAAGCGGAAGAAUUCCCAUGACUCUGUGAUUGAUCUGGAAGGUUUCUUCUCCUUCUUCUGUGUAUGGAUAUCCCACACUUGCUUACAGUGAAAGAGCCUGAAGCAAUACCCUGAAGUAUUCACUGUAUCCAAGGACCAUAUUUCAGUUUGUUCAUUUGUUUUUCAAGAGCCUGAGCGUUCGAGAGAAGUAAAAUGCCAUGUAUGGUAGCAGUAUGUUCACUCACUCUUGUCAUACGUGCUUUCAAGACUCAUUUGACUUUGCUCAUUGACUCUGAACUGUGGUUACAAC
rnacentral:lncRNA from 1 species